rnacentral:lncRNA from 1 species
CAACUCGGCCGGACGCGGGGCACGGGCGCUAACAGGCUCCUAGGAGCCUCCCCGGGCGCCCCCCGCCCAGGGCGCGCUCUGCUCACCUGCAGGUUUCGGCGGCUCCGCGGUGACUAACAACAGCGGCAGCAGCAGCAGCAGCAGCAGAAGCGGUGGCGGCUGUGGCAGCCCCGGGCGCCCGCCCGGACCGCCGCGGGUCAUCGCUCCACGGCCGCGACCUUCCUCUGCGGGAUCAGGCGGCCGCGGUGGCCCGCGGUGGCAGAAGUUGCAAGAGAGGCUCCUGGCCUACUCAGGGGCGCCGCCUCUCCGAGGUGGGGCGUCCUCAACUUUCCUCUUUCUUGAGCCCGGCCUGCUCCGGGCUCUGAGGGGCGAGGACGCUUCACGUGGUGGCCUGGGGCCCACCCCGCCUAGGAAAGGCGGAUCCUUUACGUCUGACCCUCUAGCAACCCCUGGGCCGGUCUGGGAAAGUUCCCCAGCUGCACUUCUGGGAAAUGCAGAGGCUGCCUGCCGCUUUCUUUCGCAGUUUUGCGGCCCAAGGCUUGGGCGAAUCAGUUCACAUCAACACCCCUACUAGCCUCUCCCUCCGGGGUCGACCAUUUAUCUCCAGCAGCGGACCAGGCGCCCGGGCCAGGGUGACAUGCGCGCCCUGCCUACACGCAGCUCGGAUCCUCUGCUGUUUCUGGAGAGGCCUCCACAGGCUGAAGUGCAGCAACGUGAUCUCAGCUCACUGCAACCUCCGCUUCUCAGGCUCAAGCGAUUCUCCUGCCUCAGCCUCCCAAGUAGCCGGGAUUACAGAAGCUCCCUGGAACAACUGCUGGAAUAAGGUUCCAGAGUGGAAGGUAGUUAUUUCACUGAGAACACACAUCUGAUUCAUGCAAGAAAGUCCAUGUUCCAGACAGGGCAGCCAAGCCUAAGUACAUUUCUGCUUCAUUGAGGUCUCAGGAAAAUGUGGAAGCUCCCUCUUGGGAU